AGAGUUUGAUCCUGGCUCAGAACGAACGCUGGCGGCAGGCUUAACACAUGCAAGUCGAGCGGGCGUAGCAAUACGUCAGCGGCAGACGGGUGAGUAACGCGUGGGAACGUGCCCUUUGGUUCGGAACAACUCAGGGAAACUUGAGCUAAUACCGGAUGUGCCCUUCGGGGGAAAGAUUUAUCGCCAUUGGAGCGGCCCGCGUAGGAUUAGCUAGUUGGUGGGGUAAAGGCCCACCAAGGCGACGAUCCUUAGCUGGUCUGAGAGGAUGAUCAGCCACAUUGGGACUGAGACACGGCCCAGACUCCUACGGGAGGCAGCAGUGGGGAAUUUUGGACAAUGGGGGCAACCCUGAUCCAGCAAUGCCGCGUGAGUGAAGAAGGCCUUCGGGUUGUAAAGCUCUUUCGGACAGAAAGAAAUCGCACGGGCUAAUACCCAGUGUGGAUGACGGUACUGUAAGAAGAAGCACCGGCUAACUACGUGCCAGCAGCCGCGGUAAUACGUAGGGUGCGAGCGUUGUCCGGAAUUAUUGGGCGUAAAGGGCUCGUAGGCGGUCUGUUGCGUCGGGAGUGAAAACCCAGGGCUUAACCCUGGGCCUGCUUUCGAUACGGGCAGACUAGAGGCAUUCAGGGGAGAACGGAAUUCCUGGUGUAGCGGUGAAAUGCGCAGAUAUCAGGAGGAACACCAAUGGCGAAGGCAGCUCGCUGGGACGUGACUGACGCUGAGACGCGAAAGCGUGGGGAGCAAACAGGAUUAGAUACCCUGGUAGUCCACGCCGUAAACGAUGGGCACUAGGUGUGGGAGGUGUCGACUCCUCCCGUGCCGAAGCUAACGCAUUAAG
rnacentral:rRNA from 1 species